rnacentral:rRNA from 1 species
AUUGAACGCUGGCGGCAUGCCUUACACAUGCAAGUCGAACGGUAACAGGUCUUCGGAUGCUGACGAGUGGCGAACGGGUGAGUAAUACAUCGGAACGUGCCCGAUCGUGGGGGAUAACGAAGCGAAAGCUUUGCUAAUACCGCAUACGAUCUACGGAUGAAAGCAGGGGACCGCAAGGCCUUGCGCGAACGGAGCGGCCGAUGGCAGAUUAGGUAGUUGGUGGGAUAAAAGCUUACCAAGCCGACGAUCUGUAGCUGGUCUGAGAGGACGACCAGCCACACUGGGACUGAGACACGGCCCAGACUCCUACGGGAGGCAGCAGUGGGGAAUUUUGGACAAUAGGCGAAAGCCUGAUCCAGUCAUGCCGCGUGCAGGAUGAAGGCCUUCGGGUUGUAAACUGCUUUUGUACGGAACGAAAAGACUCUGGUUAAUACCUGGGGUCCAUGACGGUACCGUAAGAAUAAGCACCGGCUAACUACGUG